UCGAGCGGAUGACGGGAGCUUGCUCCUUGAUUCAGCGGCGGACGGGUGAGUAAUGCCUAGGAAUCUGCCUGGUAGUGGGGGACAACGUUUCGAAAGGAACGCUAAUACCGCAUACGUCCUACGGGAGAAAGCAGGGGACCUUUGGGCCUUGCGCUAUCAGAUGAGCCUAGGUCGGAUUAGCUAGUUGGUGGGGUAAUGGCUCACCAAGGCGACGAUCCGUAACUGGUCUGAGAGGAUGAUCAGUCACACUGGAACUGAGACACGGUCCAGACUCCUACGGGAGGCAGCAGUGGGGAAUAUUGGACAAUGGGCGAAAGCCUGAUCCAGCCAUGCCGCGUGUGUGAAGAAGGUCUUCGGAUUGUAAAGCACUUUAAGUUGGGAGGAAAGGCAGUAAGUUAAUACCUUGCUGUUUUGACGUUACCGACAGAAUAAGCACCGGCUAACUCUGUG
rnacentral:rRNA from 1 species